AUUUCAUGGUAAGGACAUUUUCUUAACAAAUUCUUUAAUCUCUCUCAUGUUUCAAUAUUAAACUGAAAAAAAAAAGAUGUCAUUUCUCAAUUU
rnacentral:snoRNA from 1 species